UUUUAAACUUUUUAUAAAAAAUUGGACUGUGCUGCUGGUGGAAAUAGAAAUCAGUGCAACAUUUCUAGCAAGAAAUCUGAUAAAAUGUGUGGCAAACUUUAAGCAUGCUCCUACACUGGCAAUUCUACUUCUUAAAAUUUAUUAUAAGGGUAUAAUUACAAAUAUUUUAUACAGUUUAGCUAACAGAUGUCAUUGCUGCAACAUUGUUUAUAAUGGCAAAAAUUGGAAAAAUAACCAUAAUGUCCAAUGAAAUUGGGCUGAUCAAAGUAAACUGAGCUAUUUCACAUAAUGAAAUACGGAAAAAAAUACUUGAAACAGCAACGAGAGUGAGAGCUCACUGAAUGUCAGUUAUGAAUAUUACUCUUAUUUGGCCAGUCAUAGAAAAUUAAAAUUUUGAUGAGUAUUAAUUGAUUCAGAAAGAUGUUUUGGGGACAGGUAGAUGAAAAAAAAAUAUUCUUGGCUAAAAAAUCAUCCUUGGGACAANACUUUCAUGUUUUCAGCAUGAGAUCUUGAGUUGAGCUCUUUGGACCAAGCAGAAAUAAAAAAUUAGGGCACUGAUAUUCCUGCCCCAGCUUCAGAAAAAAUGAAUCAUCAUGACAGAGAGUCUAAUGGAUGAAUUCUAAUUUUUUAAUCCUACCUCCCAUGCCCAUUUCUAAAAAUCCAGGAAUUGUCCUACAUGGGAUUCAGUAACCCUCCCAAUUUGUCUUACCAAGAAAGAAGAACACCCCCUCCAUGCGCUAGAAAGCUACUAGUGUUGUCACAACUGUUUAAAUUCUAUUAGGGUUCUAAGUCUUAGUCAUUCACUUUAAUUAAUUCAAACAGCACCCUUUGUGAGGGAAUUCAAAUGUAAUUUUCCUUUCCAUGAUUAUGUGACCUGUUUCUUCUGUAGUACCAGCCACCACCCUUGCUUCCUCCUCUUAAUGCCCUUUGGGAAAGAUAUUGGACUUUCCAGCUCCCUGGUCUGUAGGCAUAUUAUCACCUACCUCAUAAAGUGGUUAAGAAGAUUAAAUGGGCUAAAGCAUAUCCUUUAAAAUCUGUUUUCCCAUUACCGAUUAUCAGUUAUUUUGACAUUGAGAAAACUCACAAGUGAAUUAUCAUCUAGGAGGGAUUCCUUGCCUUUUUUUUUUUUUUUUCUGUUUAAGUCUCUCUUCCAUUUGUAUUUCUGCUUUUUAAAUAAUGUCAAAAUACACACCUAUCAGAAACCAGAGGCUACCAAACACAACUUGCAAAAUCUUUCCUCCAUACAUACAUUAACAAUAUAUUAACAAUCCCCUGGGACCCUAGUCUUUUUUUUUUUUUUUGCUUUUGAGGCCACACACUCAGCAUAUGGAAGUUCCCACAGUAGGGGAUGAAUCGGAGCUACAGCUGCCGGCCACAGCCACAGCCACAGCAACAUCAGAUACAAGCUGUGUCUGCAACCUACACCACAGCUCACGGCAGCACCAGAUCCUUAACCCACUGAGCGAGGCCAGGGAUUGAACCCAAAACCUCAUAAUUUCUUGUCGGAUUUGCUUCCGCUGCGCCACAAUGAGAACUCCGACCCUGGUCCAUUCUAAGCAGAGUCUUUAGCAGCCGGUUGAAGCAGGGAGAGCUGGUCAAAGAAAUAAAGGGAAGAGAACGGAACUUGUGCGUUUUCAAUUUUGGCAUGUGCUCAUCUUCAGAGUGGUCUCCUCAGUGCCCCCCAGCUCAGCUCUAUCUCCUCACAUGCUCCUGUUUGGAAUCCUGCUGCAAAACCCAAUCUUCAGGGUGAUAUAUCAAUAUGAUCCCUCAAGAGAGGCAGUCUCACUUUCUUUUGAAAUGUUUGUUCUUCCUACUUCAGUUCCUUUUGUCCUAUUAUGUCCCAAAUUUUUAAACAUGUACAAGCAUUUUUUCCCUACAAGCUAAACUUGUGUUUCUCAAGGAGAAAUCUAUGGACUGGUUCCAUCAAGGUCACCCAAGGGAGAGGGUCCAGAGGAGGCCUCAGAUUUCUGAGCUCCAUAUCAGACCUAAGGAAUCCAAAUCCAGUGCUUAGGAAUUUGCACUUCUAAAGGAAGCCAGGUGACACUAAUGCUCACUAAAUCCUGAGAACUAUAGUCCGAGGAGCUGACAGACAGCGAUGCUCACGGGACAGGAAUUUGUGAGCAAUGCCUCAUUGCAAUGGAACUUGAAAACACCCUCAAAACUCAAAGAGGUCUGUGAGGUUGCCCCAGAGGCCAAAGGGCCAGGUAGCAGCUAUGAAGUAGUGUAGUAUGCUGGGAGCUAUUCCUACCAGAAGUGGGAAAGGCUAUAGACAGGCUAAUAUCUGUAAUUUAAUCUGGUAGAGAAAGGGCUUUGUUUUUGUUUUAAUUUCAUAUUAAAAAUGUGAAUGAUUUUAACAGUAGUAAUGAACACUGAGAUCUGUAUAUUAAUCUCCUGGGCAUAUGCACCUGCCUUUCGAACCAGGUAAUUAUACCUAAUAUUUGCAUGUUUGCCUAUUAAAAGUAAUUAAAAACAACUAAAUUUUUUCUAUUGAUAAAAAAUGAAAGAAAAACUAAAAAUACUUCCUACUAGUUAAGGGUACUUACAGUUCAGAAAGUGGCAUGGUGGUUUUAAUGACAAUGACGUAGUAGAAAUGGGGCUGAGAGGCAGAAGUGUCACAGCAAAGGUGAGACAAGUUAACAUAUGUAGAGCAUGGACAACUUUCCAGGCUAGGCUUUGAAGAUGUGCAUGUUUCAGCCUAUCUUGUGAGUCAUACAAUCAGUCUUAUAAUCAGGGAGAGAAGGACCUCUGGCACUGCCACACAGUCAGUAAGUGGCAUGGGCAGAACCCACAUGGCCUGGUUUCAGAGUCCACUCUCUUACCUCAGUGACUCAUUGAUCACCUCCUCCACAGGAGACUCCUCAUCUAGAAUAUGCAGAUAUGAUAUAUUAUCUGCCUAACAGGCUGUUGUAAUAUUCCAUUGUAUGUAUGUACCACAUCUUCUUUAUCCAUUCUUUAGUCAAUGGACAUUUAGGUUGCUUCCAUGUCUUGGCUAUUGCAAAUGGUGCUGCAAUGGACAUUGUGGUGCUGUUUCUUUUCGAAUUAUGGUUUUCUCUGGAUAUAUGCUCAGGAGCGGGAUUUCUGGAUCACAUGGUAGUUCUAUAUUUAGUUUUUAAGAAACUUUCAUACUGUCCUCCAUAGUGGUUGCACCAGUUUAUGCUCCCACACCAUUGGGGGGGGGUGAAUUAAAGGGGAUGGGAGUAACAUAUACACACUACUGUAUAAAGUAAAUAAUUAACAAGUAUCUACUCUACAGCACAGGGAAAUAUACCCAAUAGUUUGUAAGAACCCAUAUGGGAAAAAUUGUGUAUAUAUGUAUAUGUGUACCUGAGUCACUUUGCUGCACACCUAAAACCAAUAUAAGAUUAUAAGCCAUUGUACUCCAAUAAUUUUUUUAAAAAGACUAUUGUGAGAAUCAAUAUAUGAAAAUCCUUUAAAAGAAUGUCUAUCAUAGUAGUACCACAUAUAAGUCCACUAUCUUUCAUUAUUGUCAAUAUUAAUAAUUAUUUAUGACCAAAAUAAUUAGGACUGAUGCAACUAUAAUAACUUACAUAUAAUAGUAAUUACAGGAAUAUUUAUUGAUGGUCACACCCCAUUGGACAGAAAUAUAAAAAAACAUAGGCAGAAUAAUGAAUGCCUUUUAUGAGGGUUAAGUGGGAUGUUCCUUAAAAUGUGUUCUUCCAGAUGCCUUAUAUCAGAAGCAUCUGGAAUGCUUGUCAAAAAUAAAGUAAAAGAGAGAUAGAGACUCUGAGCCCCAACAGGGAUGCAUUAUGGUGAGAUCCCCAAAUCUGUUUAUUUAGCAAAGGCCCUAAGUGCUUCUUCUAUACACUAACAAUUGAGAUUCCCUGACAGACAAAAUUAAAACAUGGAGGGACAGAAGAAAAAUCAGCUGUCAGACAACCUCCAUAUUUCUCUGCAUGUAUCUUAAAAAAAAUCUUAAAGCACAUAUAGCUAGUCUUUCCAGGUUUCUGGUUUCUGUCAUAAGACUAAAUGAUUUUUGACAUGAUAAAGUUUGCACUUAUAACAUAAUUAAAUAAUUUCCAUACCAUUGUGUUCUAUUAGGACUGGAUUAAUCCAAGCAAUAAAAAUACAAUAAUAACGGUGAUGGAUGAUGUCGGAUAAAGAUGGAUGAUGAUGAUAAUUAUGAGGUGCUUGAUGUUUCACAUCAAAAUGAUACAGUCCUAUUUUCAUUAACUUUGUGCUAAACUAUGGUGACAAGAGUGACUUGCAAACGUUUUUCAACAGCAAUUCUGGGGUAAGUCCAAAUGAUCUGUUGUAUUUAGUAUGUUCUUUUGUAUAGCGCUACCCACCUUUGUUGGUAUCUCUAUAGUAGGACUUUGUAGCUUAAGAAUUACAGCUUUAAGCUGUAUGUUAAAAUACUUCGACAUUGAUAAUCAUUGAAAAAUUGUAAAAAGUCUGAUAAAUGGAUGGAAUAAAACACUCCAAAAGUAUACCCACUAUAAAAUUAAGUUCCCAACUUAUAGGGUAUUCCGUUUUCAAGUAUGAUGAGAUGUCUAAUGGAAAUUAUAUAUCCUAAUACCUCUUCCAGUUUCACCUGAUUAUUACCACUUCCCCAAAUCAACCAUCAAGUGUCAAGGAAGAAAAUAUUUCCAGUCUUUGUAGCAUAAAAGCAAACAAUGCUCUCACAAUCCGCAAUUCCAAAUAUUUAUAACAAAGAGGGAAAUAGUUGGUAAUGAUGUUCAGAGAGAAUAAUUUGAUUCCACCUGCCAAAGAAUUGCCAAAGGAAGUGACCAGCUCAUAAAUAUGACACUAUGCAUGUAUCUACCGAGUCUCAGCUGUGUCAUACUUUGAGGACUGUCCAGAAAGCAAUGCUUUCUAAGGAGACAGCUAGAAAGGAACCUGGAUGUGUGCCCUCCCUUUCCUUCCCUUUGCAUAAAUAUCUCCACCAGUGCCAGAAGAGGAAAACAGGAGGGCAAGCACAAAGGCUUUUUUCUUUUCUUUCACUAUCUACCUAACAGCUGCUUGGUUUUCACUGACAGCCACUGGACGUAGCCCACAAGAAAUGCACCCACGACUCUGUAACUGAUGAUGACAAAGUAUAAAAAUGAGCAUAUUCAGAUAUUUCUCUUCACAAGGGAAAAAUAAAUAGCCAAUACUUUAAAAGUCCAUUUCGCUUAAGCCAAGAUUUUGAUGGCAGUUUAUUUGGGUAGGCAAAUCUUUCUCAUAUUAUCCCCAACUCUAAGUUGAAUACUACAUAUCGAAUAAACAUGGCCAUUUUGUGUUCAUUUUUCUAAGUGAAACUUGGAAUUUCUUAUAGAAGCCUUCCUUUUCCUUGGUAACUGCUGCCACAUAAAGAAUUUGUUGGAAGAGGAAGGUAGAAAGGGAGAGCGAGCCAGAUAGAGGUAAAGGAAGAAAAAAAGCACACAAAUAUAGAAAGAGUAACUGGAGCCCCCAUGCCAGAGGAAGCAAAGGAAGUUUCCUAAUUAUAAAUGUAACUAAACAUUACCUCUCGGGAGUUCCUGGCAUGGCUCAGUGGUUAAGGAACCUGACUGGUAUCCAGGAGGAUGCGGGUUCCAUCCCUGGCCUUGCUCCGUGGGUUAAAGAUCUGGCAUUGUGUGAGCUGUGGUGUAGGUCACAGAUGUGGCUUGGAUCUGGCAGAGCUGUGGCUGUGGCAUAGGCCAGCAGCUGAAGCUCGGAUUCAGCCCCCAUCCUGGGAACCUCCAUAUACCAUGAGUGCAGCCCUGAAAAAAGACCAAAAAAAAAAAAAAAAAAAAAAAAA
rnacentral:lncRNA from 1 species